UUAAUUGGGCCUUGACUUUGCUGGCUCUUUCUUUCUUCGAUGACACAAAACCACACUUUGUUCUUCUCUUCGUCUUCCUCCUCUCUUCUUCUUUCAAUGAUUUCUUCUGCAAUUAUUCUUACUAACUCUCUUCUUCUCAUGCUUGAUUCUCUUGCACAUGAUUGAUCAAAGAUGAGAUUCCUACAGUUCCUACUCCGAGCCUUUUCCGGCACCUCUUAUGAGGACUGGAUCUGGUGCUUCUCAAGAUAAGUCGCAGCUCCAACCAUUGUCGCCACCAUUUUCAUGCUCAAAGGAAGCGCAGCCAUUUCCGUUAAGCCGUAAACAAAGUGAAGAAAGUAUGAAGAUAUAAUUAUUAUCAUAUUUCAAGAUUGGGUUGUUGCCAUAAACGGCAUUUUGCGAAUAUUCAGAUUUGUGGAGGUAUAAUGUGAAAGAGUGUUGUUAUGGUCUGUUUGGAAACGAUUGUAUUCUAAACAGGAUCCGAAUAAGAUAAUACUUACUACUAAGGAUCCGCGUUCCAUUAUUUCUGUUAGAUUACCAUUUUGUCCUCAUGUGUUUUUUUCCUUCUUCUUGCUUUUUGUAAAUCGUAGGGGCAUUGUAUGUCAUACAUACUUAAUUGUUUUUUUUUUUAUCCCUAAGUGCUUCCCAAUUAAUAGUAUAGAUACCACUCUCAAAAUUAUACCAUUUGAGAUAGAAUUUUGAAGGAUUUAAAAAAAAAAAAAAGAGAUGAUCGAUUUCUGCAAACCUUCAAUCAAAAUAUAUUUUUCUGGGAAACAACACUGGGGGGAGAAGGAUCGAUUACAGUCUUGAAGCUUCGUUCCUGAAUCAAAACACCAACAUCUCUGUUUGGUAAGCUAGCUGCAUUCGUUGCUUUAGUUCAAAAAAAUUCAGACGGAGGAGGCAAAAGAGUCAGGUACGGAGCUCAAGGCAAACCUCAUCUUGGAAUAGGUUGCGAGGUGCUGGAUAAGACUGAUGAUGCUCAUUCUGCUAGAAGUGAGAAGAGCCGAAUACCACCUGGAAAGCAUUAUGAAAGAAAUGGGGGUGCUGAGUCUGGUCAAAGAGUUCCUCCUGGCACGAGUCCUGCAGAUGUGCAAUCAUGCGGUGAUCCAGAUCAUGUGCAGUCGAUAGCUGGAAGUACAAUGUUGCAGUUUGCAAAAACGAGGAAACUAUCUAUAGAACGGUCGGACUUGAGGAAGUAUGUUUGACGCUGCUGUAGUUCUCUGGGAAAUUGGGCUCAAAGUUGGCUACUUGCAGGUUGAAUUAUUUUGGAUAUGUUCUGGGAAAGUGGCCGUAACUAUUAAACUGUAAAUCGAAAUCAUCAUCUGCUUUUUCCUGUGUCUUAGUAUGACUGUUGUUGAUAUUUCCACCAAAUUUCAUAAUUUUCUGGGUUAUUUUGCUACUUCAUUUGUGCUCUGCAUUAAAACUGAUGAAAAUGCACAAUUUUGUGA